rnacentral:rRNA from 1 species
UCCUACGGGGGCAGCAGUGAGGAAUAUUGGUCAAUGGACGGAAGUCUGAACCAGCCAUGCCGCGUGCAGGAAGACGGCUCUAUGAGUUGUAAACUGCUUUUGUACAAGGGUAAACCUGAAUACGUGUAUUCAGCUGAAAGUACUGUACGAAUAAGGAUCGGCUAACUCCGUGCCAGCAGCCGCGGUAAUACGGAGGAUCCAAGCGUUAUCCGGAAUGACUGGGCGUAAAGGGAGCGUAGGCGGUCUGUUAAGUUGGAAGUGAAAUCCCGGGGCUCAACCCCGGAACUGCUUUCAAGACUGACGGG